rnacentral:rRNA from 1 species
GACGAACGCUGGCGGCGUGCCUAACACAUGCAAGUCGAACGGAGUGGCGACCGGGUGAGUAACACGUGGGUGACCUGACCUGCACUUCGGGAAAAGCUUGGGAAACUGGGGCUAAUACCGGAAAGUGUGGGAGGGGCCAGCGGCAUAGCAGCUUGUUGGUGGGGUAAUGGCCUACAAAGGCGGCGACGGGUCGCCGGCCGUAGGGGGUGGACGGCAACAUUGGGCCUGCGACACGGGCCAGACUCCUACGGGAGGCAGCAUUGGGGAAUAUUGCACAAUGGGCGGAAGCCUGAUGCAGCGACGCCGCGUGGGGGAUGACGGCCUUCGGGGUGUAAACUCCUUUCACCAUCGACGCGUUAGAUGGAGAAGAAGCACCGGAUAACUACGUGCCAGCAGCCGCGGUAAUUC